rnacentral:rRNA from 1 species
UACGUAGGGCGCAAGCGUUGUCCGGAAUUAUUGGGCGUAAAGAGCUCGUAGGUGGCUUGUCACGUCGGGUGUGAAAGCUUGGGGCUUAACUCCAGGUCUGCAUUCGAUACGGGCUGGCUAGAGGCAGGUAGGGGAGAAUGGAAUUCCCGGUGUAGCGGUGAAAUGCGCAGAUAUCGGGAGGAACACCGGUGGCGAAGGCGGUUCUCUGGGCCUGACCUGACGCUGAGGAGCGAAAGCGUGGGGAGCGAACAGG